CACGUAGGGCGCAAGCGUUGUCCGGAAUUAUUGGGCGUAAAGAGCUCGUAGGCGGUCUGUUGCGUCUGCUGUGAAAACUCGGGGCUUAACCCCGAGCCUGCAGUGGAUACGGGCAGACUAGAGGUAGGUAGGGGAGAAUGGAAUUCCCGGUGUAGCGGUGAAAUGCGCAGAUAUCGGGAGGAACACCGGUGGCGAAGGCGGGUCUCUGGACAGUUCCUGACACUGAGGCACGAAGGCCAGGGGAGCAAACGGG
rnacentral:rRNA from 1 species